UUUCACACAUCAAUACACAGGAAAUUCAUCUCAGAAUUUAGUCAAUCUUGGUAAAGCUUGUAAUGGUACAGAUGUUAAUAAAUUGGAGUUGUACACAAAAAAUUUCAUAAUUUAUUGGGUCGUGAACUAAGAAUUACAUCAUUUACUUAUUUACCUUAUGUUAAUUUAGAUAAAGAUAGUGGCGCAGAAUGGUCGAUGGUUAAUUCAUUUGUAGAUAAAUAUAAUUUUACAAAAAAACUUAUUCCAACAAAUGAUAAGUGGGGAACACUUUUUAAUAAUUUUAGUGGUACUGGGAUGACAGGAUUGGUUGUUGGAGAAGAAGCAGAUUUUGGAGUUGGUUGUUUUUAUCAAAUGUUACCACGCCGCGUUUUAAUAGAUUUUUCAACGGGGACAAUGCGAAAUGCUCUGACUUUUCUUGUGCCUAAACCUCAAUUAUCA